CGAACGUGAAGGGGCUUCGGCCCUGAGUAAAGUGGCGCACGGGUGAGUAACACGUGGAUAAUCUACCCGAUGGACCGGGAUAACACUUCGAAAGGGGUGCUAAUACCGGAUAAGCCCACAGGCUCUUUGGAGCCUGCGGGAAAAGGUGGGGACCUUCGGGCCUACCGUCAUCGGAUGAGUCCGCGGCCCAUUAACUAGUUGGUGGGGUAAUGGCCUACCAAGGCAACGAUGGGUAGCUGGUCUGAAAGGAUGAUCAGCCACACUGGAACUGAAACACGGGCCAGACUCCUACGGGAAGCAGCAGUGGGGAAUUUUGCGCAAUGGGCGAAAGCCUGACGCAACAACGCCGCGUGAGUGAUGAAAGCCCUCGGGUCGUAAAGCUCUGUCCUAGGGGAAGAAACUUUUGGGGGAGAAUAUCCCUUGAAACUGACGGUACCCUC
rnacentral:rRNA from 1 species